UGAAGUUGUAGCUCAGUGGUAGAGCAAGUAGCUGUUAACUACUCAGUCAAGAGUUCGACUCUCUUCAAUUUCU
rnacentral:tRNA from 1 species